rnacentral:rRNA from 1 species
GGAUGCGAUCAUACCAGCACUAAAGCACCGGAUCCCAUCAGAACUCCGAAGUUAAGCGUGCUUGGCCGAGGGUAGUACUAGGAUGGGUGACCUCCUGGGAAGUCCUCGUGUUGCAUUCC